CACUCCCAUACUAAUUCUUCGUCUUGACGUAACGUCCCCACUGGGUCAAAUCCAGCUUCUCAGCUUAAGUUAUUAACUGAGAGCUGCCGCUGCCAAUGACCAUUUUGCAUGUGUGCAUCGUGCAGCAGGCACGAAGAUACUCUAUGCCCAAGGAAGGCAAGAAAAUUUCCUUUAUGCAAAGUUCCUGGACCCACCGGAAAUCGAACUCUUCACACCCAGCGUGGUCUUGCUGGAUACCCUACCCACGCCCUUACAGCUGUGGCUAUAUGGGCCAGCCACUACUCCUCACGGAGAACCAAUGUUUACACUUUUGCAUGGCAUUCAUUGAACGAUUAACAUUUAUACAAAUUUCAAAAUUACUCGUACGCUCCCAUUUGACGACAAACAUGCCUAUAGGGGUUAUCUGCAGAUGAGAGACUCUCUUCAAGUCUCCUCUAUUUUGAUUACAACGUACUUGUAUUUAUGAAUUUGGAUUUUUCUCAUGUCAGAAGGUAAAGCAACCCUUUUUUGAUCUACACAUAACAAAUUGUAAAAAUGUGACAUCGUGAUAAUUUAAUGAGAAUCAGAACAAAGAGAGCCUCUCUUUUGCAGAUUGGACCUUUAGGCAUGUUUGUCGUCAAUUUUUGUCAAAUACCAACAUGUUUUGGUAUUCCAAGGUGAUUUGUAAACCAAACGUGGUUCCCAUGCCGAAAUUAUUGCAAAAUAUUCGCGUAAGUGGUUGCUCGAGCUGAUUUUCGAUCUAUGUAAGUCUUAGUCACUCGUUGAGCGCCACGGAUUUGGUCUAUUAGGGUUACACAUAUAUUAGUGCUAAAAAAAUUAAGUGUGCUCCACUGAUAUUGGCUACCUUUAUUCAGGACACGAGUGCUACUAGUAGUACUAGAGUAUCUAGACACAUCUCAAACAAUUAUAUGCAGCUACAGAAGCGUUUAAUAUUAAUUCCAAUCUAUAUGAUAAGUGAGGCAUCAAAAGGGAUUUGAAAAGGAUGAUUUUCAUCGAAACUGUCAACAUUCCUGUAAUAAGUUUUAAGUGUCACAAUCCUCCACUGAUCAUGUUUGAAUGAUUUCGUUUAACAUCCACUUACAAUUUGAGAGCGGUAUUCAAAUAGGAUUAAAGCAAUGAUACAAAAUCUCUACUGAAAUCAAGCUGAUGUAAUAAUUUUUGCAAUCGUUUACCAUUAGAAACUUUGAUAGAGUAGUGUGCGGUGGUUCGGCAGCAGCAAAGCCAUAUUCGCAUAAAUAGGUGAGCUGGUUUCAUGCUAUUAUUUUAUCGUGAAUGUUCGUUGUAAAAUAACAUGACUUAAAUAUAUGCCAUACAAUUAACGUUCAUAAUAAUUCAGUAGAAAUACAGCUGCUGAUCAUCUGCAAACAUGUAGAUUAGCGUGGUUCAAAAAAUCGUUUUUGCUCCACACCGCUUAUUCGAUUUGUAACCAGAAUCUAUGUCUCCUCCCAAAAUUUGAGCUAAUUUGGUUGAAAAUUUAGACUGCACAAGCCCUUCAAAGUUUAUAUGGGAAUUACUACGGGAAAACGACGUUUUUCAUUCAAUCGACCGUAACAUUUUCCCAACUGUCUAAGAUGAUUAAUUGAAACCUGAUACUCAUAGGCAACUUUAUUAGCUACAACUUUGCCGAAGACCGCUUUGAAAUCGGACGGCUAAUUAAUUAGUUAUCGAUUUUCAUCGAACUGGAGAAACUUUAACAGUGAUCCUCCAGCUUCCCAGCAGGCAACAUUGCUGCUGUAUAUGGGUCCAAAGAUAGAACACAGAAAUCAUGGCUACUAUGUUUCACUGCUAAUUGCAGUGAUGCCCAUCAAAUAGUUCAAUCAGGGCGUCGCAACUGGUGAUUUUUACGUGACUCCAAUUUCAUCAUAUUUCAACGACCCUGUUCCCCCAGUAAGCGGUGUGGAGCAAAAACGAUUUUUUGAGCUAAUAUAGAUAUUACAUACUUUCAAAGAUGAUGGAAGGCCGUUGGCACAUAAGGCUAACAGCAAUGGUUCUGAAACCGAUCCUUGUAGCACUCCCGAUGGAAUACCGAUCGGGCUAGAAUGAUUUGCUUUAACUUCCUCUAUUUGAAAGCGGUUAUUCAAAUAGGAUUUACUCAGUGACACAGAAUCUCAACGGAAAUCAAAUAGAUGUGAUAAUCUCUGCAGCAGUUCAAAAUGAGAAACCCUGUUAAAAGCUUUUGAAAAACCAAUCAAUAGCAGAAUAUUAUCGAUAUGUUGAUGGACAUCGUCAUGCAUAUUGAGCAAAUGCCAAGGCAAAUACCGAAGUUCGAAGUUGGAAUACUUAGUAUUUAGUGAAGUACCUAGUAGCUUGGAAUACUUGAGGAAAUUGCUUGUUGUGAGUAUUUUUGCUGAAAAUAAAAACAUUAUAUGAGAUCACGAGGCAAAGCAAAACUCACAAAGUUGCUUUAGUAUGUCAAUUCUUGUACCAUAUAAUGUUUAAAUUGGGCUUUAAACACUUAUUUUUUUAUUUCACAAGCCACCUAAAUCUGACAAUCUCCAGGAAUGCAUACUAACGCCACGAAGUGAUGUAAUUUCCAAUCACAAGACUACUGCAUAUCUUUGCUAGGCAGGAACUUCCUUUAUGGUGAGAAACAUUAGAUAAUUAUCUCGCUAGCGCCAAGAAAAGGUGAAAUUGUAUACAGUUAUGUUCCGACUUUAUCACCCCCUCCACGCGUCAGACCUUCAUUUUUUAUUAAUGCCCUGUUACAUUUUAGGGAAAAUCUCCUCCCUCUUCUUCAGGAUGAAGUUUGUAUGCGUGCUUUCCAACGUUCAAAAUAUUGAAAACGCAUAUAGAUUUUUACAGUGUUUGAAAACAUUUAUGGAAA